rnacentral:rRNA from 1 species
GACGAACGCUGGCGGCGUGCCUAAUACAUGCAAGUAGAACGCUGAAGGAGGAGCUUGCUUCUCUGGAUGAGUUGCGAACGGGUGAGUAACGCGUAGGUAACCUGCCUGGUAGCGGGGGAUAACUAUUGGAAACGAUAGCUAAUACCGCAUAAGAGUAGAUGUUGCAUGACAUUUGCUUAAAAGGUGCAAUUGCAUCACUACCAGAUGGACCUGCGUUGUAUUAGCUAGUUGGUGGGGUAACGGCUCACCAAGGCGACGAUACAUAGCCGACCUGAGAGGGUGAUCGGCCACACUGGGACUGAGACACGGCCCAGACUCCUACGGGAGGCAGCAGUAGGGAAUCUUCGGCAAUGGACGGAAGUCUGACCGAGCAACGCCGCGUGGGUGAAGAAGGUUUUCGGAUCGUAAAGCUCUGUUGUAAGAGAAGAACGAGUGUGAGAGUGGAAAGUUCACACUGUGACGGUAGCUUACCAGAAAGGGACGGCUAACUACGUG